AAUAGAUACCCUGGUAGUCCACGCCGUAAACGAUGAGUGCUAAGUGUUAGAGGGUUUCCGCCCUUUAGUGCUGCAGCUAACGCAUUAAGCACUCCGCCUGGGGAGUACGGCCGCAAGGCUGAAACUCAAAGGAAUUGACGGGGGCCCGCACAAGCGGUGGAGCAUGUGGUUUAAUUCGAAGCAACGCGAAGAACCUUACCAGGUCUUGACAUCCUCUGACCUCCCUGGAGACAGGGCCUUCCCCUUCGGGGGACAGAGUGACAGGUGGUGCAUGGUUGUCGUCAGCUCGUGUCGUGAGAUGUUGGGUUAAGUCCCGCAACGAGCGCAACCCUUGACCUUAGUUGCCAGCAUUCAGUUGGGCACUCUAAGGUGACUGCCGGUGACAAACCGGAGGAAGGUGGGGAUGACGUCAAAUCAUCAUGCCCCUUAUGACCUGGGCUACACACGUGCUACAAUGGAUGGUACAAAGGGCUGCGAGACCGCGAGGUUAAGCCAAUCCCAGAAAACCAUUCCCAGUUCGGAUUGCAGGCUGCAACCCG
rnacentral:rRNA from 1 species